rnacentral:sRNA from 1 species
GGCCACUUGGGUAGAGGCUUAGCUCUUGCUUUGCUCUGUGCUUGCUGAAUGAACUUGGAAAAACCACCCAAAGUCUUGGGAGCUUAGUUUUUCAGUAAAAUUGAUGAAUUAAACUAAAUCAGCUCUGAAGCUCCCUCUAGCUCCGAAAGUCCUAUUGACUGUUGGAGCAUAGAAAUAUCCUGUGUUUUUAGUCUUCUCUGGAAGAUAUGACUUGCUAAGUGGUCUGAAGCUGUCUCUAGACCUGUGGAAAAGACAUUAUGUAUGGGACCCACCCCGUUGCCCUCUCAGCUCUGCAAUAUCCCUUGCUCUACAGACUGCAUAGUAUCUUCCUGGUCAGCCUGGGGCCUGUGCAUCCAUGAAAACUGUCGUGAUCCUCAGGGGAAAAAAGGAUUUAGAACGAGGCAGCGCCAUGUCCUCAUGGAAUCUACAGGGCCUGCAGGGCAUUGCCCUCAUUUGGUGGAGUCUGUUCCUUGUGAGGAUCCAAUGUGCUACCGAUGGCUGGCAUCGGAAGGGAUCUGCUUCCCUGAUCAUGGAAAAUGUGGCCUGGGACAUCGUAUUCUGAA